AUCUUCUUCUAAUUGGUUUACCCAUUUUCCCCUUUAAAAAUCGGUUGGCGCUCUCUUUUAUUACCUUCUUUUAUUAUCUUCUAUUUAAUAUAUCUCUUUCAUUUAAAUCAUCAUACUGAACAUACCUCGUAUAUUCAUACUCUCCAAAUAUCUGUAUUUUCAAUACGGAACAUGCCGCUACUUCAUAGUACUUGGUUGUCAUUUUAAAUGUCGUUUUCAAUGACAGUGUCACUUCAUCGACUUGACCCCCUACUCCCUGACAUACACUGGAAGGGAAAAAUUAAUCCUUAAAAAGGCAUGUAAUUCGAAAAAUAAAUCAUUUCUAUUUCAACAAAUCAUCUUCCUCUUGGGUUUUUUUGGAAAGAAAUCACUUUUCUCCCUUUGGGAGCUUCAAACCAUCCACACCGGUGAUGGAACUAAGGCUGACACAAUGGGGACUUUGACAUCCAGACUCCAGCAUCCAACACCUUUAGCUGCAGGGGCCUAGGGCCGAAGAUCUGCCCAGGCCUACGAGAAGUCUACAACAGCAGUACCAUACGACAUCAAGAAGAUACCAUCAGCUACCAAAAGCCAUAAGUAUAAUCCAGAAUUGUUAGUUUUUGGCAAGAAUUUAAAUACAUUUGUUAAUGCAAUUUACUAAGUCAUUUUAUUUAUUAUAUCUUUAUGAACAAUAAACAUGAUUAGUUAAAAACUA